UGGGGGAUAUUGCACAAUGGGCGAAAGCCUGAUGCAGCGACGCCGCGUGGGGGAUGAAGGCCUUCGGGUUGUAAACUUCUUUUGCUCUGAACAAGGCAUGCCUUUGGGGUGUGUUGAGUGUAGGGGUUGAUUAGCGCCGGCUAACUACGUGCCAGCAGCCGCGGUAAUACGUAGGGCGCGAGCGUUGUCCGGAAUUAUUGGGCGUAAAGGGCUUGUAGGUGGCUGGCUGCGUCUGUCGUGAAAGCUCAUGGCUUAACUGUGGGUUUGCGGUGGGUACGGGCUGGCUUGAGUGCAGUAGGGGAGGCUGGAAUUCCUGGUGUAGCGGUGGAAUGCGCAGAUAUCAGGAGGAAUACCGGUGGCGAAGGCGGGUCUCUGGGCUGUUACUGACGCUGAGGAGCGAAAGCGUGGGGAGCGAACAGG
rnacentral:rRNA from 1 species